rnacentral:rRNA from 1 species
GACGAACGCUGGCGGCGUGCUUAACACAUGCAAGUCGAACGGAAAGGCCCUGCUUUUGUGGGGUGCUCGAGUGGCGAACGGGUGAGUGACACGUGAGUAACCUGCCCUUGACUUUGGGAUAACUUCAGGAAACUGGGGCUAAUACCGGAUAGGAGCUCCUGCUGCAUGGUGGGGGUUGGAAAGUUUCGGCGGUUGGGGAUGGACUCGCGGCUUAUCAGCUUGUUGGUGGGGUAGUGGCUUACCAAGGCUUUGACGGGUGGCCGGCCUGAGAGGGUGACCGGCCACAUUGGGACUGAGAUACGGCCCAGACUCCUACGGGAGGCAGCAGUGGGGAAUAUUGCACAAUGGGCGGAAGCCUGAUGCAGCAACGCCGCGUGCGGGAUGACGGCCUUCGGGUUGUAAACCGCUUUCGCCUGUGACGAAGCGUGAGUGACGGUAAUGGGUAAAGAAGCACCGGCUAACUACGUG